rnacentral:tRNA from 1 species
UGCCCCCUCGUCCAACGGCAGGACAUGUGCCUUUGGAGCACAGAAUGGUGGUUCGAAUCCACCGGGGGCAAC